GGAGAGAUGGCAGAGUGGUCUAAUGCAUCGGUUUUGAAAACCGAAAUAGCGAAAGCUAUCGAGGGUUCGACUCCCUCUCUUUCCU
rnacentral:tRNA from 1 species